rnacentral:rRNA from 1 species
GAUGAACGCUGGCGGCGUGCCUAAUACAUGCAAGUCGAGCGAACAGACGAGGAGCUUGCUCCUCUGACGUUAGCGGCGGACGGGUGAGUAACACGUGGAUAACCUACCUAUAAGACUGGGAUAACUUCGGGAAACCGGAGCUAAUACCGGAUAAUAUAUUGAACCGCAUGGUUCAAUAGUGAAAGACGGUUUUGCUGUCACUUAUAGAUGGAUCCGCGCCGCAUUAGCUAGUUGGUAAGGUAACGGCUUAUCAAGGCGACGAUGCGUAGCCGACCUGAGAGGGUGAUCGGCCACACUGGAACUGAGACACGGUCCAGACUCCUACGGGAGGCAGCAGUAGGGAAUCUUCCGCAAUGGGCGAAAGCUUGACGGAGCAACGCCGCGUGAGUGAUGAAGGUCUUCGGAUCGUAAAACUCUGUUAUUAGGGAAGAACAAAUGUGUAAGUAACUAUGCACGUCUUGACGGUACCUAAUCAGAAAGCCACGGCUAACUACGUG